ACCCUCUGGAUUCCUUGCCCAUCCGAUCUAAACACCAGUCUGGCUAUAAAAGGAGGAAAAGUAAAACUGAAAUGGACUUGGAUCCUUUUUAUUUACUCUUAAAUGU
rnacentral:snoRNA from 1 species